rnacentral:miRNA from 1 species
CCGGAUCAGUCAAUGGCUGGUUAUCUCGCUGGGGCCUCCAAAUCUUGUGGAGUGCGAGUGACAGAAUGACCAGAACUCCAGACUGAUUAAAAUUUAGAGAGCCUUUAUU